AGUGAACGCUGGCGGUAGGCCUAACACAUGCAAGUCGAACGGCAGCACAGUAAGAGCUUGCUCUUACGGGUGGCGAGUGGCGGACGGGUGAGGAAUACAUCGGAAUCUACUUUUUCGUGGGGGAUAACGUAGGGAAACUUACGCUAAUACCGCAUACGACCUACGGGUGAAAGCAGGGGAUCUUCGGACCUUGCGCGAUUGAAUGAGCCGAUGUCGGAUUAGCUAGUUGGCGGGGUAAAGGCCCACCAAGGCGACGAUCCGUAGCUGGUCUGAGAGGAUGAUCAGCCACACUGGAACUGAGACACGGUCCAGACUCCUACGGGAGGCAGCAGUGGGGAAUAUUGGACAAUGGGCGCAAGCCUGAUCCAGCCAUACCGCGUGGGUGAAGAAGGCCUUCGGGUUGUAAAGCCCUUCUGUUGGGAAAGAAAAGCAGCAGGUUAAUACCCCGCUGUUCUGACGGUACCCAAAGAAUAAGCACCGGCUAAUUUCGUG
rnacentral:rRNA from 1 species